rnacentral:rRNA from 1 species
UACGUAGGGUGCAAGCGUUGUCCGGAUUUAUUGGGCGUAAAGAGCGUGUAGGCGGCCAGGUAGGUCUGGUGUGAAAACUCGAGGCUUAACCUCGAGAUGUCAUCGGAAACCAUCUGGCUAGAGUCCGGAAGAGGAGAGUGGAAUUCCUGGUGUAGCGGUGAAAUGCGCAGAUAUCAGGAAGAACACCAAUGGCGAAAGCAGCUCUCUGGGACGGUACUGACGCUGAGACGCGAAAGCGUGGGGAGCGAACAGG